rnacentral:rRNA from 1 species
ACUCCUACGGGAGGCAGCAGUGGGGAAUAUUGCACAAUGGGCGAAAGCCUGAUGCAGCGACGCCGCGUGAGGGAUGACGGCCUUCGGGUUGUAAACCUCUUUCAGCAGGGAAGAAGCUUAAUCGUGACGGUACCUGCAGAAGAAGCACCGGCUAACUACGUGCCAGCAGCCGCGGUAAUGCGUAGGGUGCGAGCGUUGUCCGGAAUUAUUGGGCGUAAAGAGCUUGUAGGCGGUUUGUCGCGUCUGCUGUGAAAACUCGGGGCUUAACCCCGAGCCUGCAGUGGGUACGGGCAGACUAGA